rnacentral:rRNA from 1 species
CGAGAAAUUUCUAAGUGAAACUUCGGUAGAUUUUAGGGAUGGAAAGCGGCGGACGGGUGAGUAACGCGUAGGCAACCUGCCCCUUGCAGAGGGAUAGCCAUUGGAAACGAUGAUUAAAACCUCAUAAUACCGGAGCAUCACAUGUUGAACCGGUCAAAGAUUUAUCGGCAAGGGAUGGGCCUGCGUCUGAUUAGCUGGUUGGUGGGGUAACGGCCUACCAAGGCGACGAUCAGUAGCCGACCUGAGAGGGUGAUCGGCCACAUUGGAACUGAGACACGGUCCAAACUCCUACGGGAGGCAGCAGUGGGGAAUAUUGCACAAUGGGCGAAAGCCUGAUGCAGCAACGCCGCGUGAAGGAAGAAGGUCUUCGGAUCGUAAACUUCUGUCCUAUGGGAAGAUAGUGACGGUACCAUAGGAGGAAGCCCCGGCUAACUACGUGCCAGCAGCCGCGGUAAUACGUAGGGGGCAAGCGUUAUCCGGAAUUAUUGGGCGUAAAGAGUGCGUAGGUGGUAACUUAAGCGCGGGGUUUAAGGCAAUGGCUUAACCAUUGUUCGCCCUGCGAACUGGGUUACUUGAGUGCAGGAGAGGAAAGCGGAAUUCCUAGUGUAGCGGUGAAAUGCGUAGAUAUUAGGAGGAACACCAGUGGCGAAGGCGGCUUUCUGGACUGAAACUGAC